rnacentral:lncRNA from 1 species
CCGGGACCUGGAGCACAUGCGCACUUCUCCGCCUUUCCCGGCGGGUCCCGGACCUGGGGCGCAUGCGCACUGCUCCCCACCUGCCUGCGAGUCGAGAGCCGUGAUGCACUGAUGGUCUUCAGUGCUCUUCCAAGGACUUAGUAUUUUGGAUAAUGCUUUUUUUUAAAAUUAUUUUUCUUCGUGUGUAACUUCAGGAUGCAACAACGGGAUGCUAUUUUUAAAAAGCCUAAGGCCGGGUAACAAAGCAGCCCUGGGGUCACCGGGCGCCCGAAGUCAGGUGGAGCCGGGAGGCCCUGGCACAGCCUGCCGUGUGGCGCGGGGCGGCUGGGGACCCAGGCCUGCGGCGCAGAGCCCCGGGCCCCGUGCACCCUGCGGGAGCACUGCAGAAACCAGCAGGUGCACCGGGCAGGUGCGGAAGCCAGCAGGUGCACCGCGCAGGUGAGAAGCCAGCAGGUGCACCUGGCAGGUGCUGGAAGCCAGCUGGUGCACCGCGCAGGUGAGAAGCCAGCAGGUGCACUUGGCAGGUGCUGGAAGCUAGCAGGUGCACCGAGCAGGUGGGAAGCCAGCAGGUGCACCGGCAGGUGGGAAGCCAGCAGAUGCACCGGGCAGGUGGGGAAGCCAGCAGGUGCACAGGGCAGGUGGCAAGCCAGCAGGUGCACCGGGCAGGUGCGGCGUCGGGUCCGGGAGCAGGUGCGGCAAGCAGGGCAGCGCCUUGGGGCCGCCUGGAGGAGGCAGCCCGGAAACACCGGGGCGGCGUCGCCGGGCCUUUCCUCCGCCGCAGAUCCGCGCGGUUCUCCGCCCACGUCCCUUCCGGUGGGACCACCUUCCCAUCCGCCCCAUUCACAGAUGACCAUCAUGUCUUGCUGGGGUGGUUUCCCCGCGUCUGGUAACCCCCCCUCGCCCCGCAAACCCUGUGGAAUCCUUCUAAGAUGCACGUGUGAUCAUUACAGCAGGCCGUGGGUUCCCCUGACGCGGCCGCUCCAGUCCCCGCACACCAGGCUCCUCCCUGGGACCCCUCCCUACAGAAGCACCCUAAUGAGCAUCCUGGCGGGCGGCACCCUGCCCCCCGGCGUCCACCAGAGCCUCCGGCCACACUCCGUGCUCCCUGGGGGGCUCCGCCGCACCCUGCAGCUCUCUGCUUCCUCGGCUACCAGCAGUCCAGGCCUGGAGGUCAGAGGCCGCCAGCCGGGCCCCUCGCGGAGGCUCCAGGUGGGAAUCUGUCUCGUGGCCCUGAGUGGCCUCCAGAGGCGGCCUGGACUCCUGGGCCCGGCCCCGCCUCGUCUUCAGAGGCAGCCACGUGUCCCUGUCACCACUGAGAGCACGAGGCCACGUGGUGCCUCUUGGGCGGGCCGUCGCUCAGCCUGCGAGGGGGGUCAGCCCGCUGGAGCCUACUGGGUGCCUGGCGGAUCAUCACUAAUAACGUCGAUGUUUCUGUGCUGAGGAGACGAGGAGCCUUGGGAGAGACGUUGCAAACCCGAGAGAGACUCGGGAGCAAGGCUGCGGCCGCGGGGCAGCAGGCGGGGCGGUGCCCACAGAACCUCCCGCGGCCCUGCAGUCCGCUGUUUCCGCCCUGCUCCUUCGGGUGCCCACGUGCGGAGGGACCGCGGGCCACUCGACUUCAGCUGGCGGGGCCUGGCCACCUGUUCCAGAAAUCUCAUCUCUGACCUAUCAUGUGUCCCCAUAAUUCCCCCCUCCUUGGCUCAGCCUCCUUUGCAGAUCCAUGUUGGAUACAGCUUUGGGAUGAAGCAGCAAAUGAACUAGUGGAGGAGCAACUCUGGGGGAUCCCCGGGUGGCUCAGCGGUUUAGUGUCUGCCUUCGGCCCAGGGCGUGACCCCGGGGUCCCUGGAUUGAGUCCCACAUCGGGCUCCCUGCAUGGAGCCUGCUUCUCCCUCUGCCUGUGUCUCUGCCUCUCUCUCUGUGUCUUUCAUGAAUAAAUAAAUAAAAUGUUUUUUAAAAAAAAAGAGC